CACUUUGAAUCUUAGCGGCGGACGGGUGAGUAACGCGUGGGUAAUCUGCCUCAAACAGGGGGAUAACACAGGGAAACUUGUGCUAAUACCGCAUAAGACCCCAUCAUGGCAUCAUGGAGAGGUCAAAGGAAGAAAUUCCGGUUUGAGAUGAGCCCGCGUCUGAUUAGCUAGUUGGUGAGGUAACAGCUCACCAAGGCAACGAUCAGUAGCCGAACUGAGAGGUUGAUCGGCCACAUUGGGACUGAGACACGGCCCAGACUCC
rnacentral:rRNA from 1 species